CUAUAUGAUGACCCAACACAUUUGUUAUACUUAUUCUGGUACCUCUUAUGUUAGUUUGAGAUGGCUUCAUGUCAUCUCAUUCGAUGAAUGAAAAGGACUUCUGAUC
rnacentral:snoRNA from 1 species